GGCAGUGUGGCCUAGUGGAUAAAGCACUGGACUUGGACUCCGGAGAUGUCUUCUGUUUCGGGCUCUGCCA
rnacentral:tRNA from 1 species